GUGGGGAAUCUUCCGCAAUGGACGAAAGUCUGACGGAGCGACGCCGCGUGAGUGAAGAAGGCCUUCGGGUCGUAAAGCUCUGUCAUCAGGGACGAACGGCCGGUGGAGUGGAAAGCCACCGGAUUGACGGUACCAGAGAAGGAAGCCACGGCUAACUACGUGCCAGCAGCCGCGGUAAUACGUAGGUGGCAAGCGUUGUCCGGAAUUAUUGGGCGUAAAGCGCGCGCAGGUGGGAUCUUAAGUCCAUUUUGAAAGUUCGGAGCUCAACUCCGUGAUGGGAUGGAAACUGGGAUUCUUGAGUACCGGAGAGGAAAGCGGAAUUCCCCGUGUAGCGGUGAAAUGCGUAGAUAUGGGGAGGAACACCAGUGGCGAAGGCGGCUUUCUGGACGGUGUCUGACACUGAGGCGCGAAAGCUAGGGGAGCGAACGGGAUUAGAAACCCGAGUAGUCC
rnacentral:rRNA from 1 species